GUGAGGAAUAUUGGUCAAUGGGCGAAAGCCUGAACCAGCCAUGUCGCGUGAAGGAUGAAGGUCCUAUGGAUUGUAAACUUCUUUUGCAGGAGGGUAAAGUGAGCUACGUGUAGUUCAUUGCAAGUACCCUGCGAAUAAGCAUCGGCUAACUCCGUGCCAGCAGCCGCGGUAAUACGGAGGAUGCGAGCGUUAUCCGGAUUUAUUGGGUUUACAGGGUGCGUAGGCGGACUAAUUAGUCAGCGGUGAAAUUUUGCGGCUCAACCGUAAAACUGCCGUUGAAACUGUUAGUCUUGAGUGCGGUAGAGGUAGGCGGAAUGUGUGGUGUAGCGGUGAAAUGCUUAGAUAUCACACAGAACACCGAUUGCGUAGGCAGCUUACUGGAGCGCAACUGACGCUGAGGCACGAAAGCGUGGGGAUCGAACAGGAUUAGAUACCCGUGUAGUCC
rnacentral:rRNA from 1 species